rnacentral:rRNA from 1 species
GAUGAACGCUGGCGGCGUGCUUAACACGUGCAAGUCGAACGGAAAGGCUCCUGCUUGCAGGGGUACUCGAGUGGCGAACGGGUGAGUAACACGUGGGUGAUCUGCCCUGCACUUCGGGAUAAGCCUGGGAAACUGGGUCUAAUACCGGAUAGGACGAUGGUUUGGAUGCCAUUGUGGAAAGUUUUUUCGGUGUGGGAUGAGCUCGCGGCCUAUCAGCUUGUUGGUGGGGUAAUGGCCUACCAAGGCGUCGACGGGUAGCCGGCCUGAGAGGGUGUACGGCCACAUUGGGACUGAGAUACGGCCCAGACUCCUACGGGAGGCAGCAGUGGGGAAUAUUGCACAAUGGGCGCAAGCCUGAUGCAGCGACGCCGCGUGGGGGAUGACGGCCUUCGGGUUGUAAACUCCUUUCGCUAGGGACGAAGCGCAAGUGACGGUACCUGGAGAAGAAGCACCGGCUAACUACGUG